CGUCAAGCCAUGGAAGCCGGGAGUGCCUGAAGUGUGCAACCGCAAGGAGCGCCCUAAGGUAAAACUGGUGACUGGGCUAAGUCGUAACAAGGUAAC
rnacentral:rRNA from 1 species